rnacentral:rRNA from 1 species
AUCUUGCGCAAUGGGCGAAAGCCUGACGCAGCAAUGCCGCGUGAGGGAAGAAGGUCUUAGGAUUGUAAACCUCUUUCAGCAGGGAAGAAAACAGACGGUACCUGCAGAAGAAGCCCCGGCUAACUACGUGCCAGCAGCCGCGGUAAUACGUAGGGGGCGAGCGUUGUCCGGAAUCAUUGGGCGUAAAGAGCGUGUAGGCGGACUGGAAGGUCUGGUGUGAAAGCCCGGGGCUCAACCCCGGAGGGUCACCGGAAACCGACAGUCUUGAAUCUGGAAGAGGAGAGUGGAAUUCCUGGUGUAGCGGUGGAAUGCGCAGAUAUCAGGAGGAACACCAAUGGCGAAGGCAGCUCUCUGGUACAUGAUUGACGCUGAGACGCGAAAGCGUGGGGAGCGAAC